CCGACUGAGCCACCCAGGCGCCCCUUGGGAUGCCAUUUUGAUGUGGCUAUUGUAGGUUUAUGACAGGCCAGCAAUUCUACAAAGUAGUGUUUAGUGGAGAUUAGACUCAAAAUGUCCCAGGCCCAUGUGGAAAGCUCCUUUGCAGUAAAUUCACCUUCUAAGAUGCUUUUGAUCCAGGGAUACUAAUUAACAAUAAAGGAUGUGAUGGCUAGAGCUGGAGCGGCAAUCUUUGCAAAAUCAAGCAAAUUCCACAGACCUCAACUUGGACAUCCUUGAGCCACUAAACCAAUAUCAGCAACUGCCUACAUCUGGACUUCUUACUAAGCAUUCUGGUGAGUGAGUCAGCCAAGCUUAUGAGUACCUGCAGUAUGUUGCACCUUAUUAGGUUCUAGGAGAUUUUUUCCCUCCAGUGGGAUGAGCACCAAUAAGAUACAAUAUUUUUGUAGAUUCGUGUGCUAAACUGGAGAAGCUUGGGACAAUAAGCUGAACAACAUGAGCAAAGCCAAAUUCAGGGUAGGAUCUCAGGGGUGUCCAGCCAGCCUUUCUUUGUACUGAAAGGGGUCACCUUUUCAAACAUUGUAUUCACACAGCUUUGAGUUUAUUUCUUCUCUGAACUUCAUUUCUAAACCAUUACUGUUCUGGGUGAGCUGUGCUUAGAGACAUAACGGAGUUGAAGAUGGAUCCAAGGGCCCACAUGGAGAUCAAAAUGCAGCAUUUGCUUCAUUUCUGAAGUGGUAGACUUGGUCAGCAACCCCCAAGGAUGGUUCAUUAGGGAUGGGAGAAGGAGCACCCAUGAUGUUUGCUGUCCCAAUCCUUUGCCUGCUGCUGUGAUGACCACCAGGAAUGGAAUACAGUCAGAAAAGCACACUGUUGUUAGGGUUGAUAUUUGCAAAACCUUUGGUUUCUGAUAAAGCCUUUGUUCUUUAUGUUUGUGGGAGAAAAGGAACAAAAAGGGAGAGAGAAACACAGUUAAACAGCAAAUCCUACACAUAUCCCAAGGCUUUUGAAGACAAAAAGAAUUGUACAAAAUAAAUUGCAAAAGAAAAAUAAGGAAAAAAUAAUCCAUAAUUUUUCUCUAUGCUUGACCUAUUUUUACAAUUGUGUUGUUAAUGAAUGUGUUUUUUUUUCUUAUGUAGCUUAGAACAUGGUUAACCAGGUUAGCCAGUCAGGUGUCUGCAUUCAGACAGACCUCACCACCCUAGAACACUCCUAGGCACACUACUGGAUUAGAACCCUCAAAAUCCACAUCGUAGACACUGAGAGUGAUUCCAGCAUAGACCACUAGAUGGAGCCCUUGCUAUGCACAAACAGCCCCAAGGGCCCUGGGGUAACCAGUGAAGCCUUUAGCUGGAGGGCAGCAUUUUUAAGAGUGGUACUUGGUUAAGAGAAUCCAUUUCUCUUCCAGUUAGUCCAGAAGCCCAGCUGCUAUUGCAGGUGCUCAAAAUUUCUCAGUAUGUGGAUUCAUACAUAGUAUCCUUAAACACACACACACACACACACACACACACACACACACAUUACCUUUACCAAGUAUUUAUUGGAGGCCUGGAAGAGUCCCACUGGCAGCCUCCAUCCCUCCAGGCUUCCCUGCAAUUGCUGGAAGCUUCCCAUUUUGGGGUGAGACUCUCUGGCUUCAUGAACACGCAGCUUCAAUAUAAUUAGCUGUCUAAUUGCUCACCGACACUGAGCCCAUGUGUGUGUUACUAAUUAUGAUUUAUUUAAAAACCCUCUGUUUGCCAUUCUUUGUUCUCUAUUUCCUCUCUAUUGAAGGGCCAAGGGAGGGAUUUGAUUUGCAAACUGUUCUGAAUGGUAGGCUUUAAUUUCUUCUGUAAUAUCUGGACUUCUCUUUCCAGUUUCAAAGUCUAGGCAGCUUCUUAUACAUGAUUCCCAGUGUGCCCGCCUUCUACUUGCCCACAGUAGGUAUAAAGACAGGUAUGGCUGCACUAUCUGGAAAUGUAACCACCGUAUUGAAUAUCACAUUAACAUACCUGCCACCCCCCAAAUCUGUAUUUCUAACACAGUUACUGCACCCAAGCAUCACAGCCAUAUAUGUAGUUGUUUAUUGGGCAUCUCCACCUAAUUAUGCCAGUUCUAAGUCAACAUGUGCAAAACUGGGUCCUAAAGCUUAGGUCAAACCUGUUUUCCUUUUACACCUCAUCUUGUCCUUGCUCUUCCUCACUCCCAGUUUCUAUCUUCAAGUCUGAUUAAUUUUACUUCCUCAUAUCUCUCUAUCUGUCCUACCUUCGCUGCUACCCCUGCUGCUGUGCUUGCCCAGAGUACUGCGAUGGUGCCCCCAAGUUCAGUUCUGACUCUCACUGUCCAUCCCACCCAAUCCACAAUUUGGCCAGCUGGUCUUCCUAAUGCACCAUGUGCUCAGGUCCCUCAAAGCCCCCCAAGGCCCUAGCUGGUCUUAUCAGUGCUUUCCCCAGAUGCACUCUGCCCUGCCCCCUCAGGAGCCUCACCUCUUGGGGCUCCUUACACACCAAAUGCUCCAACCUCACCCAUGUUCCCUCAGGCCAUGAGGAUAUGCCUUAUCCUCAUACCCUGCACAGACAUAUCUGCUCUUUGUUCAGACAUUUUCUUCAUCCCUCUGUCUAAGCCUUAUCUGGUCCCAGGUACAGGUGUUACCACAGUUCUGGGCACAUUUCCGUCAGAGCCCUGAUCACCUGUCAUUGCAGCUUUCCUUCUUUGUUUUCCCUUCCACACUGCAAGCUCCAUGAGGCCAGGGACUGUCCAUUCAACCCACAGGCAUCCCCAGUGCCUAGCAAAGCACCUAAUAGCAAUUCUGUGAAUGCCUAGUGAACAAACAGAAAGCACAACUAGCAUUAACACUGUAGUGUGGUAAUGCUAAUCAAAUGCCAGCUGGUGUUUGCAUGUGUAUGUGUGUGUGUGUGUGUGUGUGUGUGUGUGACAGAGAGAGAGAGAGAGAGAGAGAGAGAGAGAGAGAGAGACAGAACACAAGAGGAAUUCUAGGGUACACAGCAGGUCUUCAUUCUCUCCCUUUUAGUUAAUUAUUAUCUAAAUGAAGACCCGCGGGGCACAUGGCAUUUUGCUUGCAGCCUGAGGGAGGCUAUCUACAAAGUUAAAUAUUCAUAAAAUGUACAGACAUCAUAUACAACAAAUACAUGCCCUGAAGGUGAGAAGAGCAUUUGAUAAAGACCUGAAUAAGUAAGGACUGUUAAUCAGAGACUAGUAAUCAAGAGCCCUGUAUUCUAGAUAGACUUUAGUCACUCUCCUGUAAGUUCUUAUCAGUGACAAAGAGGUGCAGAGAGGAACAGAGAUGCUACUGAAGGUACAUUCUGGCUUGAAAUGGUCAAAGUUAAGAUUGGAAUGUGGAUACAGUAGUUCUUGAGUAUGAUGAGCAUGGAAAAGUGGAGAGGCACUGUCCAGACCCUAGAACACACUGCCCAGCUCAGCGGCAUGCCCUUGGCAGUCAGCCUAUCUUAGCCCCUUAAGGCUCCAUCUCAAUUGCAGAUGGUUGGCUGCCUCACUGAUCAUGCUGUUCCCAGAGCAGCCCACAUCUGGUGACAGAGUCAGGUGGAAGCAUAGCGGCCCAGUCAUCCUAACCUGAGAAGGACAACACUGAUGGGCAAAGGUCACUCCAAAGCUCCCUGAGGGUUUGCUGAGGCUUUGAAGGGUCUGCAUCCCAGUUGGACUUUCUUCUUUCCAAUACUUUUUUUUUCUUUAUUUUUGUAGAUGUUGACUACUGACUAAUAUAUUAUACUUUAAAUUCCAUUUCAGUCUGUUUUAGAGAAUCCAGCCUAGGAUGGUACUAAACCAGGAUAUAGUUUGCAUACUAAGAUGUAGUUUGUGAUGAGAUUUUGGAGUUGGCUCAAUGCACUUCUUGGCUAGCAAGAGGACUCUUUCACUGGAGGCAAGUGGGCCAAAUAGAGUCUCUGGCACAAAGUGGGGGUCCAAUGGUUACCAUUCACUGGUGGUGUACUGGCUGAAGGGAAUGCACAAUGGGAAUAAUACAUCAGGUGUUUGAAAGGUGUGGAGAAAAUAUUAACUAUAAGGAUAACAGGAUUGGAUGGCUAUUGCUAAGGGUUAUUGACGCUUCACAGAGUGAAAAUAAACAGCUGAGAGCAACAGGCAGUUGAAAGCCAGGUGUGAAAGCCAGAGGGCGUCUUUGGUUGCAUACAAAAAUUCUCUAGCAGGUGGGCUGGGAAAGCUGAGGACUAAGCCCAGGAAUCUGAGGGAGAGCAGCUGAGCUCUAAUUACUGAGUUAACAACCCAACCAAGGCAGGUCUGUUACAUUGUGGGAAGGGCUCUGGUUAUUAAUACCUGUGAUUCUGAUUGGCUGACCUGGAAUGACAAAGAUAGGAAAUUGGAGACUGAGAAGGCUAGGGUAGGAGCAUGUGAAUCGGCAUAUGGAAGUGAAUGCCAUGUGUGAGGAUCUUUGUAUCACACGUUAAUGCCCACCAGAGCUUAACUGCCAAGGAAGAGGCACAUAACAACUGCCAAGACAAAAUGGAAAGUUGACAUUAACUACGGGUAUAUAGACGAAGGGGUCAUGGUGGCAAGGAUGAAGAGUGUGCAUAGGCACAACAACAGGGAUUCCCACUUACCAAUUCUGAUUUCUGCCAUUGCUGAGUGCUCAACCUGCCAGCAACAGAAAAUAAUGCUGAGAUUUCAAAAUGGCAGGAUUCCUUAAGGAGACCAACUGAACAUUUGAGGGUAAGUUGGCCACCAUCUUAUACUGUUCUCGCUUCUAUAACAAAAAUACCAUGGCGUUGGUGGUAUAGGGGUAAGCACAGCUGCCUUCCAAAAAUACCAUGGAUUGGCUUAUGAACAACAGAAGUUUAUUUCUCACAGUUCUGGAGGCUGGAAAGUGCAAGAUCAAAGUGCCAACAGAUUUGGUAUCUGAUGAGAGCCUGUUUCCUGGUUUAUAAAUUCCUAUCUUUUUGCUGUGUUCUCACAUGGCUGACAUGGAAAAGGAGCUCCCUGAAGUGUCUUUUAUAAGGACCCUAUUCCCAUUCAUGAGUAUUCUACUCUUAUGAUCUAAGCAUCUCCCAAAGGUUCUACUUCCUAAUACCAUCAUAUUGGAUGUUAGGGUUUCAACAUAAAAAAUUGGGUGGGGGGGAUAAAUAUUUAAUUAAUUCUAGCUAUUUUCCAUACUGAAAGAGCCUGGGUUUCAUCUUCAGAGGAAUACACAUAUAUUUUAGUCAUGGAUUUACCUUUCUGGUCUGAAGGUCUCAGCAAGCACUGUCAGCAGACCGUAUAUAAAGAGUUUGAUCCACCAGUUCUGAAUCCCACAUUUCCUUGUGCCAGGGUAGGAAAUCCAAUUUACAGCAAAAAAUGUAUAGAGUGGUUCCAUUAUCAUGGGAUACAUUAGACAUCACAUUCAAUACUACCAAGAUUCUGUUGAACUGGUAGACCGUUGGGAUGGCUUGCUAAAGGCAUAGAUGAAGCAUUAGUUUGGAGCCAUCAUUAUGUAAGAAUGAGGUGCCAUCCUCUGAUAUGCAUUAUAUCCACUGAAUCAAAAAUAUUUAUGUAGCACUGUGUUCCCAACAGAAAAAAAAAACAUGAGCCCAAGAACUGAAAGGUGGAAGCAGGACUGACUCCACUAGGACACCCUUAAUACCCACAGGGGAACUUGUACAACUCUAGACUCUUCAGGGUCAAAGGUCCUAGUUCCCCUAAGGAUAUACUUUCACUGGGAACACAGCAAGAUUUCCAAUGAAUUAUAUGUUAUGGAUUUACCAUUGGCCAUUUGGGCAUCUGUAUUCAUAGAUUAAUGGACAAGAAGAGGAGACACCAAGUUUGCAUAACUGAUCCCAAUAAUCAUGAUUGGAUAGAGGUGUUGGAUACAAUGGGGCCAGGGAACAAUAUAGGAGAUAUUUCUUGGUAUUGCCUUGUCUAAUUGUGACUAUAAAUGGACAGGUCUAGCAACCCAGCCCUGAGAAUGGCAUGGUGACCAGGAUCCUCUUGGAUGAGAGUCAUGCAGCCAGAUAAGCCAUUGUGGCCAGCACAGGGAAACACAUCACCCAUAUUCCCUUCAGGAGAGACUUAUUGCCUAGAUGUGAGACAGAUAUUUUCCCACCCUCAGGUUCUCAGGGUCCAUCUCAGCUGAAAUGGUGGGUGUCACCUGAGAUCAUAUCAUUCUGAGGAAACAUAUGCUUAGUGCCUGAGCCAGGUGGUAUACAAAGUCCUGGCCAUUGGGCCCAACACAGGGUAACUGUGACAGGUACUACUUGCUUCAGAGCUCCUUGGUGGGGUGGGUUGGCUGAGCUUGUUGGGUCUGCAUGACAGUUCCUCUCUUCCUCUGCCCAAUCAUGCUUACUCCCUUUCUUUCAGUUAUUGAUCCCUAAUGGACUUCUUGCAUACCAAACUAUGUCUCACAGUUUGCUCUCAGAGACCCCAACCUGUGAAAUUUGUGCAUUACCUCGAGCCUUUCUGUUUCCAGUUUGAAUACUUCCAGGUUCUUAUGUUUAGCUUCUGUUGAUCAGUAUUGAGAUUCUGGAGCUGAAGAUAGCCUGAAUUCUUCUGGGUAGACCUUUUCUCCAGCUGUAGUUCAGUUCUAAAAUGCAGUGUUCUAGAAAGCCUGAGAGGAAAUGUUCUAUCUUUAGUUUCAAAAUGAAAAACCUCCAUUAAUCUUAGCCACACAUCUGAUUGUUGGCCACAAAUCCAUUUCUUCUCAUAGAUUCACUGUGGUCCUUUCAUGGAAUUGAAAUUCAAUUCAGUGAUGGAAGCUUUAAUCUAAUGUUUCUGUGAUUGGAGCAAAAAAUAGGAGAGAAACUUCUGUUCAGGACCAGGUAGAUAAGAAUGCAGCAACUUUGUUGGCAGAAAAGGAUAAACAUGCAUGUUUGAAAAUAACACGUUUGAUAGAACUACAAUAAUAACUGUAGGGGACCCAGUUAAUGUGAUGUCCUAGAUCUGUCUGACCACUUCUGGUGCCCUCUCCCUGAGGCCUUUGCCACUUUCCUGGGCCUUGGUCUGAAUCAAUCAGGAACACAGAGGCCCUGACUUGUCCAGAAGUGACAUGGGCAGGCCUGGUCACAUAGCACAGAACUAUGACUAGUGAAAGACAAGAGAUGUAAAGGAGAUAAGAGAGGAAAUGCCUAGUUUUUGUCUUCCUAAUAGCUUAUUCUUAAAGGCAGUGUUUCUGUGUGGCUGUUCAGGAGGUGACCAUUGGGAUGAAAAACCAGUGAUGUCUUCUUGUGAAGCUGUGGUCAUCUUGUUAACACAGGACUUUGGACCUUGUAUUUGCAUUCCCUCCUUCCCUGUUUCUCUUCAUUUUCCCCUCAUUUUGUUUCCUGGAAUUUUAACCAUCCCCUCCCCCUAUUAAGGGUUAUCACAUAAGCUUUGAGCUGAGAUUUGUUUUCCAUGGGAAGCAUUUCCAAGGCAAAUAAUGGAUACUUCUCAAGUUCUUGCUGAGUGCUAACAAUUGUUCUUAGAGUUGUAUAGGUAUCAACUUCUUUCUUCUACAUAAUAACAUGAUGAAAUAGGUACUACGAUCAUCUUCAUUGUACAGAUGAAAAAGGUGAAACAAAGAGAGUUUAGGUGACUUGCCCAUGCUAGUGAACCUAAGAAGCUGAAUUUGUAAAUGGCCACUGUCAAAGCACUGGUUAAGAUCUUCAUGUUUCAAAUACCACAUGAGUUGACACCUUUUGAAAGUCUUUCCUGAUGAAUAAAAAAGAGGUAUUCUUUCAAAAAUAAAACUCUUAUAACAUUCUCGGCACCAAAACACCUCCAUUUAUUGAGUAUCUAUUAUUGUUGAAGACUGGGUUCUGAAAAUGAAUCUAUUCAAAGAUAUGUAUGUAUGUAUGUAUGUAUUUGUUUUUUCUGUUCUUAUAGUUUGAUUAUUGGUUGCCAGUUCCAUCUGUUGAUGAAUGCUCUCAGAUAGCAGGGGCCUUUCUCCUUCCCUCCUUAUAUAUAUAAUGUUGGCCAGGUAUUGAUAAGCACUGCUCUCCCCUCAUAGUCUAACUCAAAACAUCAAAAAAAGCAAAUGGUAGGCUGUGUGGCCUUGAGUGAAAUCUUGGAAGAAAAGUAAUCCUGGUGAGAAGAAAUGGAUAGCCUGCCAGAAAUGCAGGGAUCAUUGCCCUAAGUCUAUAGACCGUCAACAUCUGGCUCUUACGGGAAUCCAUGGGCACACCUGAAGUCCAUGAAUAUAUGAAAUCCUGGAAUAUAUGAAAAUUUCUGAGUUGGUCAGCGUCUACACUUGGGGGGAUGGAUUAAGAGAGGACAUACACAUUUCAUUAGAUUCUCAGAAAUGUUGCUUUUGUGGAAAAACUAAAAUUUAAACCUUGGUAUUACUACUUUCUAUGUGCUGUAUGUAAGCCAUUUAACAAUUGGGGUCUCAGUUUCCUCAUGGAAAUGGAAUACUAGUACUGGUAGUCCUAGUAUCUACCUAAUGCCCAAGGCUUUUGUAAUGAUCAGAUAAGAUGAAAAAUGUCUGUAGAGGAAUGUUGUCCUCUCUAAAGCACCUUACCAAGGUGGGAUAGGUAAUCAUUCCUAUCUGCUGAGGCUUAGAUUGUAGGGUAUGAAGGGGAAAGACUCUAACAGUGACUAACUUCGUAUUUUAGGUUCGGUUCAUUCAGAAGUUGGCCUGAGAAAAGAAUUUGAAUAUAAAUAGUUUAUUUGGAAUGUGAUGUCUGGAUGUAUUGGUAGAAGAUUGUUUGAGUGAGACAGGGAAGGAAGGAAGGUAACCUACACAGUGCACAAUAAUGAGCAGGUUGCUUCUGUGAGCAGCUAGGACUCAGUUCCAGUGUGUAGAACAUGCCCUUGGGUUGCCUUCCCUGAGGGAAAAGCAUACUCCUGCAACAGGAAAAACCUCUCAGGUAGAGUUGCAGGUGGUUGUAUGAGGAGGCCACUUGCAUAUACCAGUUCUAAGUGCCAAGAGCAAAUAUAGGUAGGGCAUUGGCAGCAAAUUGUGAGCUAGACACAGUCAUGUGCAUUAUCCAUAAUAAAUUCUAAGUCAGUGGUUCCCUCAGAUAGUUUUCUGCUAAAAUCACCUGGGAGACUGAAAAAAAAUCAGAUAUUCAGGACUCAUAUUUGAGAAACUUUAAUUCAGUAUGUCUAGGGCAAGGUCUGAUAAUUGACAUUUUUCAAAGGCUCUCCAGAUAAUUCUAAUGGUCAGUCAGUUUGGGAAACAUGGCACUUAAAAACCCAUUUGAUGUAGGUAUAAUUUGCUCCAUUUUGAAGGUGAGGGAACGGAGACCUGAUUAUUAAGUAUUUUAUACCAUAUUCUCCCUAGACUGUGGUGGAAGCAGAAUUCCAACCCAAUGUCUACGUCUUUACCUCAGUGUCCCACUGCCUCAAGGACCUGUUUCUCUUUCAGAUACCACAUCUCUUGAACCUAUAGAGAAAGGGUAAGAGUCAUAUCUGAUGAAAUACAGAAUCCUAAGCCUGUUCCCUUCAAAGCCAUCUGUAUUGCCUACCAAAAGAAUGAAGCCUUGUAAUUGUUUUUCAAAUA